rnacentral:rRNA from 1 species
CAUGUCUUUUUGAUUAUAAUAUAAAGUUUAACCUGCCCAAUGAAUUAUUUAAUGGCCGCAGUAUUUUGACUGUGCAAAGGUAGCAUAAUAAUUAGUUUUUUGAUUGAAAGCUGGUAUGAAUGGUUGGACGAGAAAAUUACUGUCUUAAUUUAAUUUAAAUGGAAUUUAACUUUUUAGUGAAAAGGCUGAAAUUUUAUUUAAAGACGAGAAGACCCUAUAGAGUUUUACAUUUUUUAUUUAAUUGAUUUUUAGUAUAAAUUUAUUGUUAAAAAUAAAAUGUUUUGUUGGGGUGACAUAAAGAUUUGAUUAAUUCUUUAUUUAUUUGAACAAUAAUUAUUGAAUAUUUGAUCCAGAUUUUCUGAUUAAAAGAUUAAAUUACCUUAGGGAUAACAGCGUAAUCUUUUUGAAGAGUUCUAAUCGAUAAAAAGGAUUGCGACCUCGAUGUUGGAUUAAAAUUAAUUUCUGGUGCAGAAGCUAGGAAUAUUAAGUCUGUUCGACUUUUAAAAUUUUACAUGAUCUGAGU